rnacentral:rRNA from 1 species
AUACGCUCGUCUCAAAGAUUAAGCCAUGCAUGUGUAAGUCUAAAUAGUUUUAGUGUGAAACUGCGAAUGGCUCAUUAUAUCAGUUAUAGUUUAUUUGGAUGACUUUUUCUAUGGAUAACCGUAGUAAUUCUAGGGCUAAUACAUGUUGUAAUCUCUUUGAGAUUUUCUUAUUAGAAUGUAACCAAUUGUAUUAGUGAGUAAUAAUAAUAUAAUCUAUCGCAUGCUUAUGUAGCGAUAAU